ACAGGGAAAUGCUGGCAGCGUAUUGAAUGAUGUGAUUAAAGUUAUUAACCACAUCAAAGCACAUGCCCUUAACUCGCGUCUGUUUGAGCAGCUUUGUGAGGAGAUGGACGCAGAGCACAAGCGCCUUCUCUUACCCACAGAAGUGAGAUGGCUUUCUAAGGGGAGAUCGCUGGCCAGAGUGUUUGAAUUACGAGAGCCGCUGCAGAGAUUUUUUUCAGAAAAAAAGUCCCCUCUGGCGGCACAAUUCAGUGACAAGGAGUGGAUUGCAAAACUUGCUUACUUGUGUGACAUAUUCAUCCUGCUCAAUGAACUUAAUCUGUCACUUCAGGAGAGAAUGACAACUGUCAUCAAGUUGGCUGAUAAAGUGGCUACAUUCAAAGCCAAAGUGGAGCUGUGGGGCCGGCGCGUCAACAGAGGGACAUUUGACAUGUUUCAAACAUUAGCAGGGGUUUUGGAUGAGACUGAGCCUGGACUCCCAUUCUCCCACCUGGUGCAAGAUCACCUAUCUCAGCUUUCAAAGGAGUUUGAGCGCUACUUCCCAGCAACAAAUGAUCCACGUAAUACGGAGGAGUGGAUCCGCGACCCGUUUGUAAACAUGCCUGGCGCAUCAAGCGUGUCCAUGCUGGAGGAGGAUCAGCUGCUGGAGAUCGCAAAUGACGGUGGCCUUAAAAGUAUGUUUGAGUCAACUUCAAACCUGCCAGCGUUUUGGAUUAAAGUCAAAGCAGAAUAUCCAGAGAUGGCCACAAAAGCAAUAAAAACAUUGCUUCCAUUUCCGACAUCAUAUCUUUGUGAAGCGGGUUUUUCUGCAGUGAUGGCAACAAAAACAAAGUUACGGAGUAGACUGGACAUAAGGAACACCCUUCGUGUGUCACUGUCUUCCAUCACACCGAGGUGGGACCGUCUCGUUUCAGAGAAGCAAGCACAGGGUUCCCACUGAUUCUGCGUUAUUGAUGGAAACAGAGACUGGCCAGGUUUGCAACAGUGAGCCGCUCAGGACGAUUUCUCCAAUUAAUCCUCCAGCUAAUCCUCCUCCAGAUUUAACAAGGCACAGCAGGACAUCGGUGCAGGAUGAUCAGCCGAGCCGGGACUCCACCAAUCACAGCUGGCACCCUCGAAGUGCUGGCUUGAGAACAGAGUGUGCUGAGAAGCUAAUGAAGACCCUUUGGCUUCUAGCAGCUGCUGGCUAGAGAUAAGAAAGGGGAUACCUUUAAAGUAUUAAAUACACAUACCACCAGCCAGAGAGACACUCAUACACCUAUCUGCAGGUUAGGAGGACUCACAGCCUUCCUGGACCUACUGUGGUCUGUAAGGAUCACAGUAAUGAUGGGGUAAUAGAGAGGCACAGUGAUAGUGGAGAUGGUUGUCCUGAGAGAGAAACUGUCCUGUCUGCAAUUUUUGAUUCUAGUGUCCUUGCUGCAAGAGAAAGGGCUGUGAAGUGAUGAAUUAGCUUGGCAGAUAGGUAAGAAAGUCUUAAACUUGAUUCAGAAUCCAUAUAACCACUAUUAAGUGCAACAAUAUAUGCACAUGAAGUCUAUUGAAGAUGAGACAUUAACUCAUCAAGAUGUGAAUAACUCUGCAUUCAUUUUACAAAUAAAAAGUGAAGAGGG